rnacentral:rRNA from 1 species
AGUGAACGCUGGCGGUAGGCCUAACACAUGCAAGUCGAACGGCAGCACAGUAAGAGCUUGCUCUUACGGGUGGCGAGUGGCGGACGGGUGAGGAAUACAUCGGAAUCUACUUUUUCGUGGGGGAUAACGUAGGGAAACUUACGCUAAUACCGCAUACGACCUACGGGUGAAAGCAGGGGAUCUUCGGACCUUGCGCGAUUGAAUGAGCCGAUGUCGGAUUAGCUAGUUGGCGGGGUAAAGGCCCACCAAGGCGACGAUCCGUAGCUGGUCUGAGAGGAUGAUCCGCCACACUGGAACUGAGACACGGUCCAGACUCCUACGGGAGGCAGCAGUGGGGAAUAUUGGGCAAUGGGCGCAAGCCUGAUCCAGCCAUACCGCGUGGGUGAAGAAGGCCUUCGGGUUGUAAAGCCCUUUUGUUGGGAAAGAAAAGCAGCAUGUUAAUCCCCCGCUGUUCUGACGGUACCCAAAGAGUAAGCACCGGCUAACUUCGUG